CGUUAGGGGGCCUGCGGAGGGAUCAUUG
rnacentral:rRNA from 1 species